AUGAUACAUUUAAAUGAAUCAGAGAGUUACACAUCGUAGAAUAAGGACCCGUUUUCUUUAAUUAACAGUUGCCUGUAGCUCUUAUUAACCUUUAGGUGGUAUACUGGUACUGCCAACCUUGUAACAUAUCCCGCAUCGAUUAAUGAAUGGUGAAAAAGAGAGCAUAACGUUAGGUGUGAAUUCAGAAACUUAACGGCAUAUAUGACAUUUUGGAAAUCAUAUCGGAAAUAUUCUAACACUACCUGGCAACUACGUUAAUCAUUUUACUUAGAGUCCAACAUUUUUUUGGACGAUUCGAAAAUAAUCAUGGUGUGUCAGCUUUGAGUAUGACUACCUAUAGGUUAAGUCAUUAGUAGAGUUUCGCCUCUUCACGUAUCGAGAAUAAUAUUAUACAUCAUAUUAUGUCGCCCACCAAUUAAUCAACGCCUUGUUCCUGGUGUUCCGUUAUAAGGGAUUAAUGUCAUGCGAACUAAUGUUACGUCACAGCGCAUUGAACAGCCGCCGCGAACAAAUGUGAUUCUGACGUACACGAGCUAUCGAUCGCUAUUAGCAAUAGUAUUUUUUAUUUUCGAGUGAUAAUAUUAUCGCUACAAUGAGUUUAGCCAAUGAAGAACGUAUGGUAGUAUUUGAUAUUGUGGGCAGAACCGGAUAAUGUCACAAAAAGCGAAGAUGAAAAGAGCGUUUGUGCAUGGGUUUCUUGGCGGUUAAGGUAGACAUUUUGCAUGAUGUUUCGUGUCCAGAUGAUAUUACUAGUGAAGGUAAAAGCCCUUUUCCGUUAAUAAAUAAUGGUGGCGGUGUUGUGAUUAUGCGAAUAUUGUUAUAAUAAGUGAGGGUGAAGCGGAAAACGUUGAUAUAAAAGAGAAGUAGUGACAGGGGGGGGGGGGGGGGACAUCUCAUCACGAUUCCGGUGACAGUGACACGACGGAUGGUGAGUAGUGGGUGCUUCCCUGUGGCAUUGAUAGUGAUGCAGAAUGUGAUGGUCCAUCCCCUUGUGCCUUUAGCAGCCCCAUGCUUGUGGUAUGAGUGCCACACCCAUCCAGUUUGGAAGCCAGUGACACCUGCAACUCUGGUCAAAGUCCUGUGGUACCUUUUAUCGGCCUAGUGAGGGUGAACACAACACCCCGUACCGCAGGAAAAAGGAGGAAAAUGGUGUUAAUAGACUAGAGACAUCAGUUCUUAAUGGUGGUAAAUUGCAUAAAAAAACAUUGUCCUGUCCUACGAAAGCUUAGUUAGGAUGACUGGUACUAAGAAAACUGCUCCAGACACUGCAGUGGCAAACCAACCCCUAACUGCCACUGUUUUGGCUUCCACCUCAGUGAGUGGCCCUCGAAAGCUUCCGUUGCCAUCGACGGAUGGCUUGCUGGAACAGAAGUCUCUCCCCUCCAACAAGAAUUAUAGCCACAGCGUAAUGAAAUGCCUAUGGCUUCAGUGAAGCAGUGUCCUGAAGGCUGCCAAAUUCAGUAACGACGAAUGGGUCUGUCACUUGGGACUUUCUCGGUAGACAUAUUCAAUGCUACGAACGCAAAUUGUGGUGAGGUCUUUUUGACAUCACCCUCCUCUCUCACUCCCUUUUUGAUGGCCUCUGCUUGAUUAUGGAUUGAUACAACUGACUACUCUGCAAAAAUAAUAAGCAAGAUUGAAACUUCUCAAGUCUUGAUGUCAAGGUGACAGAAACUAAGCCAAUUCCAACAGCAAUAUUUACGACUACGACGACGACAACUGAGGUUACAUCUGAAGUGACAACUAGCGUGUCAACUACGGUAACGGAAAUACCCUGCACAUCAGCGGACGGGACCUUGCACCACCUGUAUCAAAGCUGGGAAGAGAACUGCCAAACCUGUUCUUGCGAAUACAGUUAUUGGGAUAACCGCAUCGUUAAGAAUUGCUACAAUUUUUUGUAUCAUCAGUACUGUUCCGCAAAACCUCACAGAGAUUGUGUCGUCGUUGGAACAUACAAUUCGGGAUGCUGCGAUGAAUAUUUUUGUGACAAUACAACAUGCAGAUCGGACAGGGGUCAGUACUACGCCAUUGGGGACACCUGGAGCCCAGCCGACGAGCCUUGCAAGAAGUGCACCUGUCAGGCGGACGGAGACGCCACCAAAACCGAAUGUGUGGCCAGAAACUGCCCCAAUCCCCCAGGCCCCAAUUGUC